AUUGAACGCUGGCGGCAUGCCUUACACAUGCAAGUCGAACGGUAACAGGUUAAGCUGACGAGUGGCGAACGGGUGAGUAAUACAUCGGAACGUGCCCAGUAGUGGGGGAUAGCCCGGCGAAAGCCGGAUUAAUACCGCAUACGACCUAAGGGUGAAAGGGGGGGAUCGCAAGACCUCUCGCUAUUGGAGCGGCCGAUGUCAGAUUAGCUAGUUGGUGGGGUAAAAGCUCACCAAGGCGACGAUCUGUAGCUGGUCUGAGAGGACGACCAGCCACACUGGGACUGAGACACGGCCCAGACUCCUACGGGAGGCAGCAGUGGGGAAUUUUGGACAAUGGGCGCAAGCCUGAUCCAGCCAUGCCGCGUGCGGGAAGAAGGCCUUCGGGUUGUAAACCGCUUUUGUCAGGGAAGAAAUCCUUUGGGUUAAUACCUCGGGGGGAUGAUGGUACCUGAAGAAUAAGCACCGGCUAACUACGUG
rnacentral:rRNA from 1 species